rnacentral:rRNA from 1 species
AGAAUUUAGCAGAGAUGCUUUAGUGCCUUCGGGAACUCUGAGACAGGUGCUGCAUGGCUGUCGUCAGCUCGUGUUGUGAAAUGUGGUUAAGUCCCGNAACGAGCGCAACCCAUAUCCUUUGUUGCCAGCACGUAAUGGUGGGAACUCAAAGGAGACUGCCGGUGAUAAACCGGAGGAAGGUGGGGAUGACGUCAAGUCAUCAUGGCCCUUACGAGUAGGGCUACACACGUGCUACAAUGGCGCGUACAAAGAGAAGCGACCUCGCGAGAGCAAGCGGACCUCAUAAAGUGCGUCGUAGUCCGGAUUGGAGUCUGCAACUCGACUCCAUGAAGUCGGAAUCGCUAGUAAUCGUAAAUCAGAAUGUUACGGUGAAUACGUUCCCGGGCCUUGUACACACCGCCCGUCACACCAUGGGAGUGGGUUGCAAAAGAAGUAGAUAGCUUAACCUUCGGGAGGGCGUUUACCACUUUGUGAUUCAUGACUGGGGUGAAGUCGUAACAAGGUAAGCGUAGUGCU